ACUCAGAGCAGACACAAUAUACAUGAAAAAAUAAAGUAAUAUUUAUUCUAAAAUUCAUUCCCAUGUGUAUAAAAGUUCCACAAUAAUUACAUUCAGUAUUCACAAGUCAUUAUUAUUGGAACAUUUGUAUUUACAAUCAAAGCUGCUUUAGAGAUCAUCUGUCUACAAUAUCUUAUUGACUCUAUAAGAUUGAAAUUCAAAUUCAACUUCAUUACUACAAUUUAAAAAUAUACAAAUAUACAAAAUAAUUUACAAAAAUAGGAAUUAUACUUGUGGAGGGGUCAAAUUCAGCAUAACUGCUUCUAUAAAUUGAAUCCAUAAUAAAUAUCAAAUCAAUACGUGUAAAAAAAUUUACACCAAAGGUAACAAUAUGAACAUACAAACUGAAAGACGACAUAUUUUUAUCAUUUGUAUUUUAUGGUUUAUUAUUGAGCUACACAGCUGAAACCCCUGCUGGUGAUACACUUAUUUCUUUUAUUCUUUUUUACUAUAUCCCUUUCUCCAUUUUGGUUUACUAGUGCUUGAAAAAAUACAGGGGAGCUACCCUUUGAAGCACCGUCCUUGAUAAUAAGUGUGUAUCCUUGUAUAUCAUUGAAACAUGUAUUACAAGACCCUGUUCAUAUAAAGACUAUCCUAUUACAAAGACUACUUCUCUCUAUUGUUUGAUAUCUAUAUACAGGUUUUACUGUACCAUGAUACUGUAUAUCAUUGAAACAUGUAUUACAAGACCCUGUUCAUAUAAAGACUAUCCCAUUACAAAGACUACUUCUCUAUAUUGUUUGAUAUCUAUAUACAGGUUUUACUGUACCAUGAUACUGUAUAUCAUUGAAACAUGUAUUACAAGACCCUGUUCAUAUAAAGACUAUCCUAUUACAAAGACUACUUCUCUCUAUUGUUUGAUAUCUAUAUACAGGUUUUACUAUACCAUGAUACUGUAUAUCAUUGAAACAUGUAUUACAAGACCCUGUUCAUAUAAAGACUACUUCUCUCUAUUGUUUGAUAUCUAUAUACAGGUUUUACUGUACCAUGAUACUGUAUAUCAUUGAAACAUGUAUUACAAGACCCUGUUCAUAUAAAGACUACUUCUCUCUAUUGUUUGAUAUCUAUAUACAGGUUUUACUGUACCAUGAUACUGUAUAUCAUUGAAACAUGUAUUACAAGACCCUGUUCAUAUAAAGACUAUCCUAUUACAAAGACUACUUCUCUCUAUUGUUUGAUAUCUAUAUACAGGUUUUACUGUACCAUGAUACUGUAUAUCAUUGAAACAUGUAUUACAAGACCCUGUUCAUAUAAAGACUAUCCUAUUACAAAGACUACUUCUCUCUAUUGUUUGAUAUCUAUAUACAGGUUUUACUGUACCAUGAUACUGUAUAUCAUUGAAACAUGUAUUACAAGACCCUGUUCAUAUAAAGACUAUCCUAUUAUAAAGACUACUUCUCUCUAUUGUUUGAUAUCUAUAUACAGGUUUUACUGUACCAUGAUACUGUGUAUCAUUGAAACAUGUAUUACAAGACCCUGUUCAUAUAAAGACUAUCCUAUUAUAAAGACUACUUCUCUCUAUUGUUUGAUAUCUAUAUACAGGUUUUACUGUACCAUGAUACUGUAUAUCAUUGAAACAUGUAU